rnacentral:rRNA from 1 species
UACAGAGGUCUCAAGCGUUGUUCGGAUUCAUUGGGCGUAAAGGGUGUGUAGGUGGCGCGCUAAGUCGGGUGUGAAAUUUCGGAGCUUAACUCCGAAACUGCAUUCGAUACUGGCGUGCUUGAGGACUGGAGAGGAGACUGGAAUUCCCGGUGUAGCGGUGAAAUGCGUAGAGAUCGGGAAGAACAUCGGUGGCGAAAGCGCUCUGCUGGACUGCAACUGACACUCAGGGACGAAAGCUAGGGGAGCGAAUGGG